UACGAAGGGGGCUAGCGUUGCUCGGAAUCACUGGGCGUAAAGCGCACGUAGGCGGCUUUCUAAGUCAGGGGUGAAAUCCCGGGGCUCAACCCCGGAACUGCCUUUGAUACUGGGUAUCUAGAGUCCGGAAGAGGUGAGUGGAAUUCCGAGUGUAGAGGUGAAAUUCGUAGAUAUUCGGAGGAACACCAGUGGCGAAGGCGGCUCACUGGUCCGGUACUGACGCUGAGGUGCGAAAGCGUGGGGAGCAAACAGG
rnacentral:rRNA from 1 species